AAUAGCUGGUCAGGCAGCCCAGCAGGACAACAGUUCCCUAACUUUGCUUCCUCCUCACCUGUUUGGAGCUGUCCGUUAACUGUCUAGAAAAACUUGUUUCUUCGAAACUUUAAAACCCUGGAAGAAGAGAAAAGAAUGCGAAGCUGUAAAAUUUCCCACCUCUCAAAUUAGUUUGAAACGUGGGCAUCUGAAAAAAAAACAAAUGCUUUAAAAAUGGCUGCCAAAACCCACUUUCUCAUCUCUCCCCCUCCUAAACCCUCUUAUUUACCGUUCUACCCUUCCCCCUAUUCCUUCCCUUCAAAAACCAGGUCUUUUAGCAUCAGUUGCUGCUUCUCGAUAAAGGAAUCAAGAGAUGAUCAAACCACUAGCAGCACCACCGCCAACAAGGCCCUGGAGAGCCUCCAUGUGGCAUUUGCUGCUGGUGGCACAGGGGGACACAUCUAUCCAGCUGUAGCGAUAGCAGAUGAGCUCAAACUCAUCAACCCAACCUCCAAAUUCCUCUUCUUAGGUUGCCCCAACAGCAUGGAAAGCACAGCAAUUCCGUCAGCUCAUUUUGAGUUCAAAUCAAUCCCAGCCGUCCAAUUAGCCUGGCCUUUCUUCUCUCUCCAGAAUCUCGUCCUCCCUUACCGUCUGAUCAAAUCCAUCAUCAAAUGCUACAGCCUUUUGUCAAAAUUUGAACCCGAUGUAGUCAUUGGAACUGGUGGGUAUGUUUCUUUUCCUGUCUGUUUAGCCGCUGUGCUGAAAAGGAUCAAGCUUGUGAUCCAAGAACAGAACUCUGUUCCGGGUAUUGCAAAUUGGCUUCUUUCUUUGUUUGCUGAUUUGGUGUUUGUUGCCUUCAAUUCAACGGUUGAGUGUUUCCCAAGAAAAGAAAAGUGUGUUGUUUGUGGGAAUCCUGUGAGAUUGACUUUGAAAGGUUUGGUUUCAAAGGCAGUGUCAAGGUUGCAUUUUUUUCCUGGGUUAACGAAAAUGGAGGGUUCUCCACAGGAGUUCAAAGUAAUUUUGGUUCUUGGAGGGUCUUUAGGAGCUAAUGCUGUUAACAUUGCUUUGUUGAAUGUGUACUCUCAGUUGCUGUUGGAACAUAAGAAUUGGUUCAUUAUAUGGCAAACAGGCGUUGAGGCGUUUAAUGAAAUGGAAAGCUUGGUUAGGAGCCAUCGGCAGCUAAUUUUGACACCGUUCUUGCAUUCAAUGGAUUUGGCAUAUGCAGCAGCUGACCUCAUCAUUUCUCGAGCUGGUGCAAUGACUUGUUCUGAGAUCUUGGCUACUGGGAAACCUUCUAUAUUGGUAGAUUGAAGACCAUCAACCCUUUUAUUUUUCUCUUUCUUUUUUUUUUUUUUUUGGGUCUCUUUAGGCAUCAAUUAACAUCAAUGUCUAAGAAUUAGCAAAACCAUGAAUGAGCUAACUAAUUUACUAGUCUAACAUUCUAGCUAGGAUAGUAUUUCUGCUAUUUGACAUAUCUGGACAGAUGAUUAUCUGUUCAGAGAACAUAUUAUUCCAAAUAUUUGGUGAAGCAAAAUCUUGAACUUUGUGCCAUUCUAUAAUAAUAUUUGAAUAAAUGAAACAUUAGGGCAGAUUAUAUCUUGUAGCCAGAAGAACGGUUAUUCCAAACUGUCAAAGACUUGGCAAAUAUUUUCUGCUUCCUGUUGCAGUGGUGACUGCUUUAAACAUUUACACGAGGAAAGGGAGUGGAAGGGAACUAACUUUAAAGAUUUAUCCUCAAGGAAAUUGCCUCAACCAUGAUGAUAUGAGACCACUCUGAAUUUCACUAUAAUGAAAACAAAAGGUCAUGGAAACCAUGAUACUGUAUGUAGUAGUGAUGAUUUGAUGAGGCACUGGUGAUAAUUGCUAAAAUUAUUCCUUAUUAACUCUAUCAUCUUUUUUUUUUUUUUCCUGGAUAAUAUUAAAACUGGUAGUCAUGUGCAUUUAGGAUAUAUGGGAAGUUUUCUUUUUCAAGGCUCUGGAAUCACGACUUUGGAAAAUGUUCCAUAAUGAAGAGGUUUGACAUUAUUGUUGAUGAUACAUGUACCUGUAUACCAUCACCAAAUGUUGCAGAAGGACAUCAAUGCAGAAAUGCUUCUCUAAUGGCAGAUGUAGCAGGUUCAAG